GAAAAGUGAUUAUGUUCAAUCAUACUUUUGCUGAAUUAAUCUACUAAUUUUUCUAUUAAGCAAAGUUUGUUAAUCAAAGUUUAAUUUCGUCUAAACAAUGAUGGUCAGUCAAAAUAAAAAGAUAUGUUUUCAAAUUAUGAUAUCAUUUUCAACAGCGUAGCAACCAAGCCGAACUGUUAGACAAAUUACUUGUAAUCGGCUUGACCGGAAAUAGGAGUAUUUAGAGCAUUCUUAUUUCAUUAAAGUUUUUCAAAUUAGUCAUUACUUCUGUUGAUCACUUAUCUAACUUCUCUGAAGCUCAAAUUCCUUAUCACAUUAUGGAUAAAAUCAAUUUUUAUUUAUUACAGUUAUGUAUGGGGAAAUAGCAGCUAAUUUGUAGUUAAACGAGUAUUAUUUGCACUGUCAUUGAACAUUGCAUUUACAAUUGAUUUAUGUACCAACUGUGUAUAUGCAUGCUACUACCUCUACUAAUGAAAAAAUAUAGAUGUGCUUAUGAAUUAUUUAUAUACCAUUUUAGAUGCUAUCUGUAUAAGGCAAAGUAAAUAAAAAUUAUCCUGGG
rnacentral:sRNA from 1 species